CCUACGGGAGGCAGCAGUCGAGAAUCAUUCACAAUGGGGGAAACCCUGAUGGUGCGACGCCGCGUGGGGGAAUGAAGGUCUUCGGAUUGUAAACCCCUGUCAUGUGGGAGCAAAUUAAAAAGAUAGUACCACAAGAGGAAGAGACGGCUAACUCUGUGCCAGCAGCCGCGGUAAUACAGAGGUCUCAAGCGUUGUUCGGCAUCACUGGGCGUAAAGCGUGCGUAGGCUGUUUCGUAAGUCGUGUGUGAAAGGCGCGGGCUCAACCCGCGGACGGCACAUGAUACUGCGAGACUAGAGUAGUGGAGGGGGAACCGGAAUUCGCGGUGUAGCAGUGAAAUGCGUAGAUAUCGAGAGGAACACUCGUGGCGAAGGCGGGUUCCUGGACAUUAACUGACGCUGAGGCACGAAGGCCAGGGGAGCGAAAGGGAUUAGAUACCCGAGUAGUC
rnacentral:rRNA from 1 species